GACGAACGCUGGCGGCGUGCUUAACACAUGCAAGUCGAACGGAAAGGCCCUGCUUUUGUGGGGUGCUCGAGUGGCGAACGGGUGAGUAACACGUGAGUAUCCUGCCCCUGACUUUGGGGUAUCUUCAGGAAACUGGGGCUAAUACCGGAUAGGAGCUCCUGCUGCAUGGUGGGGGUUGGAAAGUUUCGGCGGUUGGGGAUGGACUCGCGGCUUAUCAGCUUGUUGGUGGGGUAGUGGCUUACCAAGGCUUUGACCGGUAGCCGGCCUGAGAGGGUGACCGGCCACAUUGGGACUGAGAUACGGCCCAGACGCCUACGGGAGGCAGCGGGGGGGAAUAUUGCACAAUGGGCGGAAGCGUGAUGCAGCAACGCCGCGUGCGGGAUGACGGCCUUCGGGUUGUAAACCGCUUUCGCCUGUGACGAAGCGUGAGUGACGGUAAUGGGUAAAGAAGCACCGGCUAACUACGUG
rnacentral:rRNA from 1 species